rnacentral:rRNA from 1 species
GAUGAACGCUAGCUACAGGCUUAACACAUGCAAGUCGAGGGACCGGCGCACGGGUGAGUAACACGUAUCCAACCUUCCCUUUACUCGGGGAUAGCCUUUCGAAAGAAAGAUUAAUACCCGAUGUAAAGGAUGGGGAUGCGUUCCAUUAGGUUGUUGGUGAGGUAACGGCUCACCAAGCCUUCGAUGGAUAGGGGUUCUGAGAGGAAGGGCCCCCACAUUGGAAAUGAGGCACGGACCAAGCUCCUAGGGGGGGCGGCAGUGAGGAAUAUUGGUAAAGGGGCGUUAGCCUGAACCAGCCAAGUAGCGGAAAGGAGGAAGGGGUAGGGGUCGUAAAUUUUUUUUAUAUAAGAAUAUGUAUUAAAUAAAUAAGUAUCGGCUAACUCCGUGCCAGCAGCCGCGGUAAUAC